GUUGAUCUGUGACAAAAAUUUCAAACUAAAGCACAAAUCUUGCUUCAAAGAAAAUUUGAAGGUUUCAACUGCUGAGUUCAGGAAUGGCCAAUCUGAGCUGGCUGAAAGAGAAGAAAAUCUGCUUCCUUCAUGAGGACAUCCACAGAGUUGGAAGAAACCUCCUGGUAUGUCCUGGAUCCUCCUUCCGUCUUCAAGUCUCCAUCUAUACUGUUG